AAUUAUAUGAAGAUAUCAAGUGUCAAUGAAAAUACAUGUACUACUGAAAUGAUAAAGGUCAAUACAUGUACAUAGUAUUUUGCCUGUUUUAGAAUGUUUCAUAAGUUUUAUUCUUGUUUUCCGGUCGUAAAUUUACAAUUAACUUGUUUUAAAUAUGUCUAUAUGACUACUGCAAUUAAAUGCAGGUCCAUGAUUUUGAGGGUUUGAUAGGGAAGGAAAAUGUUGAUUUUCAUAUGCUAAUAUUUAGGGGGAUAAUGCAUUAAAAAUGAUUUUAAAGAAAAAACUAUUUUUGACAGAUGAUUAAAAAUAAAAGACAAAAAAACUUUGAUCACUUGUGGACAAAUUCUCUUCGAACCCAGAAAAGUUCAUUUCAGAAUUUAAAAAAAA
rnacentral:lncRNA from 1 species